UUUAUCAUGAAACCUUCUGGUAUAACUAUUAUCAACAACAAUAAAACUAAACACAUUGCGCUUCCUUACCACGCUGAAACAAUUCCGAUUGGUUAUUUAACUUAUUUGCUUUGAUCAUGAUUGGUUAAUCUGGCUGUCAUUCAUGAAACUGGCCAAUGAAACUGUGCGCGCCAUUUUAAGUUUGAAAAUAUGACCGUUAUCCUGACAGUCUUUCUGAGUGAGGUCGCUGUGAGUGAGAGAGCUGCUGCGCAAUAAAACUGCUAGGUCGGUCCCGAAUUAUAAUUAUUGUAUAAAAAACGUUUACCAUUAAAGCUAUUAUUAUAUUAUAGAUCCUAGUACUAUUUAUGUAAACGCUGCAUAACUUUCAUGUGUUUGAUGGGCGCGCGCGUUGAACAUUCGAGGCGCUUUUAAACUGGAGUGGAAGGAGUUUCCAUGGAAACCGGCCGGCAACUCAGCUGACAAGUAGCAAAAAAACUCCGUCUCUCACUGUUGUUUUUACUGCUUUCAGAAAUGGUUCAUUGUCAUCGGAAAAAGUCCGUUAGCAUCACAACCGUGAGCUAACCAGAGGCUAACUAUAAGAGUCUUCCAUGCUGAUGGCCGUGCAGCAGAGUUGGAGGGGACCUCUUGUCGAAGAACAUCUCCAAGACACUAUGAGCAUCUGACUAGCUUUUUGUGAAGACAGAAAAUCAAGAGAUGUUGUGACGACCUGGACAGAAUUCAGCUCCAGAUCCAGCCUCCACACCAGACUUCUCACACACAAGGACUGCUGUCUACUAGCAUAUUAUGUGUUCUCUUUAGAGUUAGGUGCAUGGAGAUAUUACCUGAUUUUUAGAUAUAAUGAAAACUAUAUCAUAUAUAUAUAUAAAUAUAUAUGAAGAGUUCAGAUGCAAAAGCCUCUAAAUGCCAUCUGAAAUUUUCUUCUAAAAUGAGCAUUUUUCUCAAGCUCCUAUAUUUAUGUUCAGUUAUUUCAUUUUAAUUGCAUAGAAA